CCUCAUGGGGACUUCUCUCAGAUAUCCUGUUCUGUGUCAUGGAGAUCCUGUGGCUUUGGAUCUGCAGUACCAGCCACACCAGGUGCUCUAGUAGUUCUUAUAUUGGUGGAUGUUGGGGUGGGCCUGGGUAGUAGCUGAGUUGGUCAGCCUGCCAGCUCUCCUACACCCAUACCACCAGGGCCAGCUCUCCAGCACUGCUCCAGCAAAAGUCAGGACCAGCUCACCUCAGUGUAAGAGCUGGCAAGGGUUGGGGCCCUCUCCAGAGUGCUGCAGCUGUUAAGAGGGUGGAGCCAGCUCUCCUGCUCUCUUGCCUUGAGGAUCAGCUCCUAUGGUGCAGUGGGUGAGGGGUGGAGGCAGCUCUGCACAGCCCUCUGACAUCUACCUGGCCCCAGACAGCAGCCCAGACCAGAGAAGUCCGCUUGGCCUUUGGAGGUAACAUGGUCAAUGGACAUUGACAGAGACCCCUGUUACUUCAGGGCCACAGUCCCAGACUUGGCCCUCAGUGACAGCACAGGCCUGUAUAUCACCAUGGCCUCAGGUGUCAGCGUAGACUACUCACUCAGGUUGUUCCUCACCACUCUCUCAUCUCCAGUUCCAUUCUCUUUAUAGUGCACUGUCAGGAAGUUUCUUUGGUCUUUAGAAUGAACAGUAGAAGAAUGACUGCUUCAGACGAAUGUCAAAGACUGAUGCUCUCUGACCUUAUAACUCUGUCUUACAAUUUAGUGCUAAUAAGCGCUGGUUUCUUACUAUUCUGUGACUAAAUACCACUGGUUUCUGUUAAUAAACUCCUGCUGGUGGUAGCAGAGGGAUGAAGAGGAGGAAGAGGAGGAGGAGGAGGAAGAGGAAAGGC
rnacentral:lncRNA from 1 species